UUUUGCAGCCGGUUCGCCUCCCAUCACAAGCUCAUAAAGCUCGGCUCGGCUUCAGCAAACGGCACAAGGUCGAGAAGCGCGGAUUGGAGCCGGCUCGAAGCUGCAGAAGAAGUUGGUGAGAUGUCGGACCCGAAGCCCUGUGUGUGCCUGGAUGGAUCCUGCUCCUGUGAAAACACCUGCAGAUGCUCCAACUGUCAAUGUGCCACCAGCAAAGCUGGACGCUGCCAGAAAAGUUGCUGCUCUUGCUGUCCUGCAGCAUGCACCAACUGUGCCAAUGGCUGUGUGUGUAAAGG